CCCUGUGCCCGCGACUUAUUCUGAAAAACCAAAUGUCCCUUCUGUAUCGGUGGCGCCAAAUCCACCUCCUGGCGGCAAUUUACCCGCGCCAAUUUUCAUUGACGCGCGAAAUCUUGGCACCGCGCCGAAUGCCGAAUCCCUCUCGUGGCGCGCCCAAUCUCUCAUCAAAUAUCUCCUAGUGCCAAUGAUCUCCCCCACCCCUUCACCUCCCCUGAAUCCACGCAAGUAAUAGGCAGAGGAUUGAGGAACCAGUACAGAACUCCAGGGCCAAGCCAGCGCCCGCCGCCUAGGAGAGCGUCGAGCCCGGUGGCCGGCAGGAGGGCGGGGCGCCUGCAGCAGCACGGCCGUGAGGCAUGGAGACCCCGGCAGCCGGCGGGAGCGGCGCUGCUCCAGGGCGGCCGACUGGACAACGGGGCACGGUGGCUGCGGCCGCGAGGCAUAGAGCAGGCUGCUCCGCGGCAGCCGAUCCGACAGGAGUCUGGACAACGGCUUGGGCGAAGCCAGCCAUGGAGCGACCUGGCUGGAUUUCUCGGCAGAGCUGGAGACCUGGGGGGCAGCGGUAAGCAGGCAGGAUGUUAGGACUACCUCGAUGGCCAAUGGUGGGAAGCACAGCAGGCGGUAGUAAGCGGUGAUUUUUUGUUUCCUUCUGUGUCGAUCUGUUGCACAUAAAUCAAAUUUCACACUUUUCUGGUUGCUUAAACUUACUGUAUGAAUCUGCAACUAUUAAUGUUAUGAAAAUUUAUUUAUUAUUUGUUUGAAACAUUCCUUAAAUGUUGAUUUUGUAGGUUAAGACUUUAUCUCACCGAUACGAAAUUCUUGAAUUUUUACCUGACCAAUGUCUCUUGAACUGAAUGUUAUGAUGGACUAUAGACUAUAAAUAUUUUCUGACAUGUUGGACAUAUCCAAUAUAUGCAUAAUACUGUACUAAGUACUGAAUAUGCCCAAAGUAUAUAAAAUUGAAUGGUUACAUGGACAUAACGACUGGCAGUAUUUACUAAGCACAGACAUAUCGAGGUCUGAAUGAGCAUAUUUAUCUAGUGUCCAUGUUUCACCUUCGUAAUUGGGAUCUUUUUAAUAUUCACUUUGUUCUAAAGUAUGUCAAUGUGAGGACAUAUAUUUCCUUGUAUACAUGUAUCCUUACUGAUGAUUAAUUUAUGACUUCAUCAGCAGGGAAAAUAUAUGGUUGCUAGUUUUCUAAGCAGUCACUGUUGUGCUUGUUCUUAAGUAUGCUGUUACAGUAGUCUACAGAACUAUUUGGUGAUGAUUCCACUCCUUAUGCGCAUACUAUACAUGUAAACUUUUGAUGGUCAUGCCUUGUCUUAAAAGGUAGAUAUUUGUCAUGGAAGCACUUGUUUCAUCUUUUCUACGGCAUUGGUGUGUUUGUUCUGUUUGCAGAUUUUUUUAGUAAUGAAAACCACUGUGGAUGUUGUUAGUUUAAUUUUAAACACUAAUCUUGAGAUCACCCUUCUCUCUGAAGAUGUUGAUUUUGUUUGCAGGCAUCAGAAGUGAGCCUAAAUUUAUGUUUCUGUCUGGAGGCAUGUUCUUGAUAAGAACGAACACAUUGAUGGUUUUUGUGUUUUUCAUACUAUUUUUCAAUCUAUUGCUAUAUAGUAUAUGAAUCCAUAUUUUCUAGCAUUACAGAUAUCCAUAUUUUCUCAAAAGCUCUGUUAUGUUUCCUAAAAAUUGUUUUUUAUUGCGAUAUCUAUAUCCAUGUCAACUGAACAAUAACUAGGUUUUCAUUCAGGACUAAAUAUAUAUACUAGUUUGUUGCAUACUAUUUUUUAGCUAGAUAUAAUAGCUGCACUGGCAUUGUUGAAAUAAUAUCUGUUAAAAUAAUUAGUUUUUUAUUUCAGUAUUGGGUAUAUAUUUGGGGCAAGGCACCUUGCAAGUGCAUCAUUGCUCGUUCAUGUAAAUUGUUGUUUUAGAUUUGUAAAAAAAUAGUACUUUUUAGUGAGUCACAAAAGAAUUUAUUUGUAUUAUUAUCCAACAUUCGGUAUUAUAUUCUAAAACAUGUAUUUUAAUGCAUUGUUGGUUCACUUUAACUUUUUAGUACAAAUUUAAAUGCGCAGAAGAUCCAAUUCAACAUAAUCAAUGGUUGAAAUAACAUUCUAAAAUUUGAAUUAUUAUUCAGUGUAACAUUAUGGAGUUGCAAGGAUUCAAGGAUCUCUGUCAUGAAGUUAUUUAAUGCAAUAUUUGUCAAAUGUCAUGCUCAGCUUUUUAUCUGUUGUGAAGUCACAUAAUUUCUUUUCACUUGUCCAAAGCAGUUAAUGGCUUAAAAAUUGUAAUAGUUAGUUCUGUUGCAGAUUGCCUAUUUUUGUGUUACAUGCAUGUGUUUACAGCAUCAA